UACGAGGGGGCAAAUGUUGUUCGGAAUCACUGGGCGUAAAGGGAGCGUAGGCGGGUUUCUAAGUCAGGUGUUUAAUCCCGGGGCCCAACCCCGGACAGGCACUUGAAACUGGGAAUCUUGAAUAGUGGAGAGGUCAGUGGAAUUGGGGUGUAGCGGUGGAAUGCGUAGAGAUCCCCAAGAACACCAGUUGCGAAGGCGGCUGACUGGACACAUAUUGACGCUGAGGCUCGAAAGCAUGGGGAGCAAACAGG
rnacentral:rRNA from 1 species